UGAAGCCAGCCACGAGACGCGCAGCGGCGGCCUCGGCCGCCCAGGAACCCCCGCUCGGCGCCGGCCCCACCCGGGCCGACCCGCCCGAAGAAAUGAGUGGUGGCCUGACUCCAAGUAAGAGUACAGUGUACGUGUCCAACUUGCCCUUCUCCCUGACAAACAACGACUUAUACUGGAUAUUUUCCAAGUAUGGCAAAGUUGUGAAGGUUACUAUAAUGAAAGACAAAGACACGAGGAAGAGUAAAGGAGUGGCGUUUAUAUUGUUUUUGGAUAAAGACUCUGCACAAAGCUGCACCAGAGCCAUAAAUAACAAACAGUUAUUUGGUAGAGUGAUAAAGGCAAGCAUUGCUAUUGACAAUGGAAGAGCAGCUGAAUUCAUCCGAAGGCGAAACUACUUUGAUAAAUCUAAAUGUUACGAAUGUGGGCAAGCCAAGAUGGAAGAACAAAACAAAUGGAAAGUCAGUGCUGGGGGCCCUUCGACUUCCAAGGAUUCACGGCGCCCAAGGAUAAAGAAGAGCGCGUACUUCAGUGACGAGGAAGAGCUUAGCGAUUAGCAUCGUACACUGGAGAUGUCAGAAAAACGAAAAC